rnacentral:rRNA from 1 species
GCGUGCGCAGGCGGUUAUGUAAGACAGAUGUGAAAUACCCCGGGCCUCAACCUGGGAACUGCAUUUGUGACUGCAUGGCUAGAGUACGGUAGAGGGGGAGUGGAAUUCCGCGUGUAGCAGUGAAAUGCGUAGAUAUGCGGAGGAACACCGAUGGCGAAGGCAAUCCCCUGGACCUGUACUGACGCUCAUGCACGAAAGCGUGGGGAGCAAACAGGAUUAGAUACCCUAGU